GAUGAACGCUGGCGGCGUGCCUAAUACAUGCAAGUCGAGCGAACAGACGAGGAGCUUGCUCCUCUGACGUUAGCGGCGGACGGGUGAGUAACACGUGGAUAACCUACCUAUAAGACUGGGAUAACUUCGGGAAGCCGGAGCUAAUACCGGAUAAUAUAUUGAACCGCAUGGUUCAAUAGUUAAAGACGGUUUUGCUGUCACUUAUAGAUGUAUCCGCGCCGCAUUAGCUAGUUGGUAAGGUAACGGCUUACCAAGGCGACGAUGCGUAGCCGACCUGAGAGGGUGAUCGGCCACACUGGAACUGAGACACGGUCCAGACUCCUACGGGAGGCAGCAGUAGGGAAUCUUCGGCAAUGGGCGAAAGCCUGAAGGAGCAACGCCGCGUGAGUGAUGAAGGUCUUCGGGUCGUAAAACUCUGUUAUUAGGGAAGAACAAAUGUGGAAGUAACUAUGCACGUCUUGACGGUACCUAAACAAAAAGCAACGGCUAACUACGUG
rnacentral:rRNA from 1 species